CCCCCCCCCCCCCCCCCCCCCCCCCCCCCCCCCCGGAGGCGGUGUUGGAAGGGCAGGGGGCGGCUGGGAGCCCGGCUGUGGAACCCGGGCAGGGAGCGCUGCCCCGCCGUGAGGGUCGCCCCGUGUGCCCUGAGAGGCCUGUGCCUCUCCCCCGGACACAUGAACCGCCUUUCCUGGAACAAGCGUUCUCCUUCCCAAUUUGAACGAUAUUUCUGAAGAGCAGACUACUGCUGGCUCCUGACCAAGUUUGUAGUGGGUGUGGUUUUACUGGCUCAGUGGAAACUCCCGGUGAUAAGCCAGCCCCUAAUGCCAACUCAUCCCACCACAGCAGGAGCAAGUGAACAGCAGGCUGAGGGAGAAGAAAGGUCCCA
rnacentral:lncRNA from 12 species